AGAGUUUGAUUCUGGCUCAGGACAAACGUUGGCGGUGCGUCUUAGACAUGCAAGUCGAGCGUGAAAGCCCGCAAGGGUGAGUAAAGCGGCGAACGGGUGAGUAAUACUUGGGUAACAUUCCUUCAAGAUUGGGAUAACGCGCCGAAAGGCGUGCUAAUACCGGAUAAGACCACGGCCCCUCCGGGGGUUGGGGUCAAAGAUGGCCUCUAUUUAUAAGCUAUCACUUGAAGAUUGGCUCAAGCACCAUUAGCUAGUUGGUGGGGUAAAGGCCUACCAAGGCGACGAUCAGUAGCCGGCCUGAGAGGGUGAUCGGCCACACUGGGACUGAGAUACGGCCCAGACUCCUACGGGAGGCAGCAGUUUGGAAUAUUCCACAAUGGGCGAAAGCCUGAUGGAGCGACACCGCGUGAAGGACGAAGGUCUUCGGAUUGUAAACUUCUUUAGACCUAGAUGAAGGCUUCAAGGUGAAUAAUCUUGAAGUUUGACAGUAUAGGUAAAAUAAGCCACGGCUAACUCUGUGCCAGCAGCCGCGGUAAUACAGAGGUGGCAAACGUUGUCCGGAUUUAUUGGGUGUAAAGGGCAUGUAGGUGGUUUUGUAAGUCAAAGGUGAAAUGGCCCGGCUUAACCAGGUCAUUGCCUUUGAAACUGCAGAGCUCGAGUACGGAAGAGGAGAGCGGAAUUCCCAGUGUAGCGGUGAAAUGCGUAGAUAUUGGGAGGAACACCGGUGGCGAAGGCGGCUCUCUGGUCCGAUACUGACACUGAGAUGCGAAAGCCAGGGGAGCAAACGGGAUUAGAUACCCCGGUAGUCCUGGCCGUAAACGAUGAGAACUAGGUGUUAGAGGUAUCCACUCCUCUAGUGCCGCAGCUAACGCAUUAAGUUCUCCACCUGGGGACUACGACCGCAAGGUUGAAACUCAAAGAAAUUGACGGGGGCCCGCACAAGCAGUGGAGCAUGUGGUUCAAUUCGACGCAACGCGAAGAACCUUACCUGGAUUUGACAUCCUCUGACCGCCUAUGAAAGUAGGUUUCCCCGCAAGGGGCAGAGAGACAGGUGCUGCAUGGCUGUCGUCAGCUCGUGUCGUGAGAUGUUGGGUUAAGUCCC
rnacentral:rRNA from 1 species